GUGCAGCAGGCGAGAAUUUUUGACAAUGGGGGAAACCCCGAUCGAGCGACGCCGCGUGGAGGAUGAAGGUCUUCGGAUUGUAAACUCCUGUCAUUGGGGAACAAGGUGCAUACGUUAACUGCGUGUGUAUUGAUAGUACCCGAAGAGGAAGGGACGGCUAACUCUGUGCCAGCAGCCGUGGUAAUACAGAGGUCCCAAGCGUUGUUCGGAUUCAUUGGGCGUAAAGGGUGCGUAGGCGGCGCGGUAAGUCGGGUGUGAAAUCUCGGAGCUUAACUCCGAAACUGCAUUCGAUACUGCCGUGCUUGAGGACUGGAGAGGAGACUGGAAUUUACGGUGUAGCGGUGAAAUGCGUAGAUAUCGUAAGGAAGACCAGUGGCGAAGGCGGGUCUCUGGACAGUUCCUGACGCUGAGGCACGAAGGCCAGGGGAGCAAACGGGAUUAGAUACUCCGGUAGU
rnacentral:rRNA from 1 species